CAUCCGUUUUCCCCUGAAACCACCGACCAGCUUACAGCAUCAGUCCCAUCAGCCUCCACACCAACACCAACAACAACUCAGAGUCAAAGCUCCAGUUCAGGAAGUUUCACACCAUCAGUUUCCCCUGAAACCACCGACCAGCCUUACAGGUUACUUCCUGCCUCUGGUUGUCUGUGUGAC